UACGUAGGGUGCGAGCGUUAAUCGGAAUUACUGGGCGUAAAGCGUGCGCAGGCGGUUUUGUAAGCCAGAUGUGAAAUCCCCGGGCUUAACCUGGGAAUGGCAUUUGGGACUGCAAGGCUUGAGUUUGGCAGAGGAGACUGGAAUUCCUGGUGUAGCAGUGAAAUGCGUAGAUAUCAGGAGGAACACCGAUGGCGAAGGCAGGUCUCUGGGCCACUACUGACGCUGAGAAGCGAAAGCAUGGGGAGCGAACAGG
rnacentral:rRNA from 1 species